AUUUUAGGGUUUUGUUUUAUUAGUUUCUUUUGCUUUUUUCCAUUAUCAGAAAUAUGUUUUUCUUUUGUUUGUUUUGGGUCAAUUGAUAUGCUUUCAAUUCUACUGAUAAAAUUUCUCCUUUAGAUGCAUGAUACGCCUAUCUCCCUUCCUUUUGUUUUGUGUAUCUUCAGUAAUUAAUUUGUAGUGGUCGAAUUAUUCUACUUGGCAAAUAGUAUUCGUGUCUUUGCAUAAGCGCUAAUGCAAAUUUGAUUGCUCGGAAUCUAUUGAACUUGUUAAAUGUUCCUUUCCAUGGGUUGGUUAUAAUGUUUGCUGCAAAUUUUGGCGUUGCUGAUUCUUUUUUCUAGCAAUUUUAGUAUAUGGUCUAGUUUGAGUUAAUUACCGGUGUAUAACGGAUAAGAAGUCCCUAUUAUGAUGUGAAUAGUGGUCAUAUUGUAGGAUGGUUUA
rnacentral:misc_RNA from 1 species